rnacentral:rRNA from 1 species
UACGGAAGGCAGCAGGGGGAAUAUUGCACAAUGGGCGCAAGCCUGAUGCAGCCAUGCCGCGUGUAUGAAGAAGGCCUUCGGGUUGUAAAGUACUUUCAGUCGUGAGGAAGGUGUUAAGGUUAAUAACCUUAGCAAUUGACGUUAGCGACAGAAGAAGCACCGGCUAACUCCGUGCCAGCAGCCGCGGUAAUACGGAGGGUGCGAGCGUUAAUCGGAAUUACUGGGCGUAAAGGGCACGCAGGCGGUUAAUUAAGUUGGAUGUGAAAUCCCCGGGCUUAACCUGGGAAUGGCAUUCAAGACUGGUUAGCUAGAGUCUUGUAGAGGGGGUUAGAAUUCCAUGUGUAGCGGUGAAAUGCGUAGAGAUGUGGAGGAAUACCGGUGGCGAAGGCGGCCCCUGGACAAAGACUGACGCUCAUGUGCGAAAGCGUGGGGAGCAAACG